rnacentral:rRNA from 1 species
UACGAACGCUGGCGGCAUGCCUAACACAUGCAAGUCGAACGGGAUCCAUCCUUCGGGGUGGUGAGAGUGGCGGACGGGUGAGUAACGCGUGGGAACCUGCCCAGUGGUGGGGGAUAACUGCGGGAAACUGCAGCUAAUACCGCAUGAGCCCGAGAGGGGAAAGAUUUAUCGCCAUUGGAGGGGCCCGCGUUCGAUUAGGUAGUUGGUGGGGUAAUGGCCUACCAAGCCGACGAUCGAUAGCUGGUCUGAGAGGAUGAUCAGCCACACUGGGACUGAGAUACGGCCCAGACUCCUACGGGAGGCAGCAGUGGGGAAUAUUGGACAAUGGGGGCAACCCUGAUCCAGCAAUGCCGCGUGAGUGAUGAAGGCCUUAGGGUUGUAAAGCUCUUUCGCCAGGGACGAUGAUGACGGUACCUGGAGAAUAAGCCCCGGCUAACUUCGUGCCAGCAGCCGCGGUAAUACGAAGGGGACAAGCGUUGUUCGGAAUUACUGGGCGUAAAGGGCGC